GACGAACGCUGGCGGCGUGCUUAACACAUGCAAGUCGAACGAAGUGGCGAACGGGUGAGUAAUACGUGGGUAACCUGCCCUCCUUUUUGGGAUAAGCCUUGGAAACGGGGUCUAAUACUGAAUAAGGGGGAUGGGCUCGCGGGCUAUCAGCUUGUUGGUGGGGGGAUGGCCUACCACGGCGCUGAUCAGUAGCCGGUCUGAGAGGAUGAACGGCCAAAUUGGGACAGAGGCACGGCCAAGACUCCUACGGGAGGCAGCAGUGGGGAAUCUUCGGCAAUGGGCGAAAGUCUGACGGAGCAACGCCGCGUGAGGGAUGACGGCCUUCGGGUUGUAAAGCUCUGUUAAUCGGGACGCGGUACCGGAAUAGAAAGCAACGGCUAACUACGUGCCAGCCGCCGCGGUAAUUC
rnacentral:rRNA from 1 species